AUUGAACGCUGGCGGCAGGCCUAAUACAUGCAAGUCGAACGGUAACAGGAAGCAGCUUGCUGCCUCGCUGACGCGUGGCGGACGGGUGAGUAAUGUCUGGGACACUGCCUGAUGGAGGGGGAUAACUACUGGAAACGGUAGCUAAUCCCGCAUAACGUCGCAAGACCAUAGAUGGGGACCUUAGGGCCUCUUGCCUUCGGCUUAUCGCAGGUGGGAUUAGCUAGUAGGUGGGGUAACGGCUCACCUAGGCGACGAUCCCUAGCUGGUCUGAGAGGAUGACCAGCCACACUGGAACUGAGACACGGUCCAGACUCCUACGGGAGGCAGCAGUAGGGAAUAUUGCACAAUGGGCGCAAGCCUGAUGCAGCCAUGCCGCGUGUAUGAAGAAGGCCUUCGGGUUGUAAAAUACUUUCAGCGGGGAGGAAGAGAGUAGAGUGAAUACAUGUGCGCAUUGACGUUACCCGCAGAGAAAGCACCGGCUAACUACGUG
rnacentral:rRNA from 1 species